AGGAAUAUUGGGCAAUGCCCGCAAGGGUGACCCAGCAACGCCGCGUGGAGGAUGAAUGUCGUAAGAUUGUAAACUCCUGUUAGAGGGGAAGAAUAGUACCGGUUGGACCGGUAUAUGACUGUACCCUCAGAGAAAGCCCCGGCUAACUACGUGCCAGCAGCCGCGGUAAUACGUAGGGGGCAAACGUUGUCCGGAUUUACUGGGUGUAAAGGGCGCGCAGGCGGGAUAAAAAGUCAGUGGUGAAAUCCUACAGCUUAACUGUAGAACUGCCUUUGAUACUUUUAGUCUUGAGUUCGGGAGAGAGAGACGGAAUUCCAGGUGUAGUGGUGAAAUACGUAGAUAUCUGGAAGAACACCAGUUGCGAAGGCGGUCUCUUGGUCCGACACUGACGCUGAGGCGCGAAAGCGUGGGGAGCAAACA
rnacentral:rRNA from 1 species